GGUUAAGCGACUAAGCGUACACGGUGGAUGCCCUGGCAGUCAGAGGCGAUGAAGGACGUGCUAAUCUGCGAAAAGCGUCGGUAAGGUGAUAUGAACCGUUACAGCCGGCGAUGUCCGAAUGGGGAAACCCAGUGCAAUUCGUUGCACUAUCGUUAACUGAAUACAUAGGUUAACGAGGCGAACCGGGGGAACUGAAACAUCUAAGUACCCCGAGGAAAAGAAAUCAACCGAGAUUCCCCCAGUAGCGGCGAGCGAACGGGGAGCAGCCCAGAGUCUGAAUCAGCUUGUGUGUUAGUGGAACGGUCUGGAAAGUCCGACGGUACAGGGUGAUAGUCCCGUACACCAAAAUGCACAGGUUGUGAACUCGAAGAGUAGGGCGGGACACGUGGUAUCCUGUCUGAAUAUGGGGGGACCAUCCUCCAAGGCUAAAUACUCCUGACUGACCGAUAGUGAACCAGUACCGUGAGGGAAAGGCGAAAAGAACCCCGGCGAGGGGAGUGAAAAAGAACCUGAAACCGUGUACGUACAAGCAGUGGGAGCACCUUCGGGUGUGACUGCGUACCUUUUGUAUAAUGGGUCAGCGACUUAUAUUCUGUAGCAAGGUUAACCGUAUAGGGGAGCCGCAGGGAAACCGAGUCUUAACUGGGCGUUAAGUUGCAGGGUAUAGACCCGAAACCCGGUGAUCUAGCCAUGGGCAGGUUGAAGGUUGGGUAACACUAACUGGAGGACCGAACCGACUAAUGUUGAAAAAUUAGCGGAUGACUUGUGGCUGGGGGUGAAAGGCCAAUCAAACCGGGAGAUAGCUGGUUCUCCCCGAAAGCUAUUUAGGUAGCGCCUCGUGAAUUCAUCUUCGGGGGUAGAGCACUGUUUCGGCUAGGGGGUCAUCCCGACUUACCAACCCGAUGCAAACUACGAAUACCGAAGAAUGUUAUCACGGGAGACACACGGCGGGUGCUAACGUCCGUCGUGAAGAGGGAAACAACCCAGACCGCCAGCUAAGGUCCCAAAGUCAUGGUUAAGUGGGAAACGAUGUGGGAAGGCACAGACAGCCAGGAUGUUGGCUUAGAAGCAGCCAUCAUUUAAAGAAAGCGUAAUAGCUCACUGGUCGAGUCGGCCUGCGCGGAAGAUGUAACGGGGCUAAACCAUGCACCGAAGCUGCGGCAGCGACACUAUGUGUUGUUGGGUAGGGGAGCGUUCUGUAAGCCUGCGAAGGUGUGCUGUGAGGCAUGCUGGAGGUAUCAGAAGUGCGAAUGCUGACAUAAGUAACGAUAAAGCGGGUGAAAAGCCCGCUCGCCGGAAGACCAAGGGUUCCUGUCCAACGUUAAUCGGGGCAGGGUGAGUCGACCCCUAAGGCGAGGCCGAAAGGCGUAGUCGAUGGGAAACAGGUUAAUAUUCCUGUACUUGGUGUUACUGCGAAGGGGGGACGGAGAAGGCUAUGUUAGCCGGGCGACGGUUGUCCCGGUUUAAGCAUGUAGGCUGGUUAUCCAGGCAAAUCCGGAUAAUCAAGGCUGAGGUGUGAUGACGAGGCACUACGGUGCUGAAGUAACAAAUGCCCUGCUUCCAGGAAAAGCCUCUAAGCAUCAGGUAACAUCAAAUCGUACCCCAAACCGACACAGGUGGUCAGGUAGAGAAUACCAAGGCGCUUGAGAGAACUCGGGUGAAGGAACUAGGCAAAAUGGUGCCGUAACUUCGGGAGAAGGCACGCUGGUGUGUAGGUGAAGCCCCUGCGGGUGGAGCUGAGACCAGUCGAAGAUACCAGCUGGCUGCAACUGUUUAUUAAAAACACAGCACUGUGCAAACACGAAAGUGGACGUAUACGGUGUGACGCCUGCCCGGUGCCGGAAGGUUAAUUGAUGGGGUUAUCCGUAAGGAGAAGCUCUUGAUCGAAGCCCCGGUAAACGGCGGCCGUAACUAUAACGGUCCUAAGGUAGCGAAAUUCCUUGUCGGGUAAGUUCCGACCUGCACGAAUGGCGUAAUGAUGGCCAGGCUGUCUCCACCCGAGACUCAGUGAAAUUGAACUCGCUGUGAAGAUGCAGUGUACCCGCGGCAAGACGGAAAGACCCCGUGAACCUUUACUAUAGCUUGACACUGAACAUUGAGCCUUGAUGUGUAGGAUAGGUGGGAGGCUUUGAAGCGUGGACGCCAGUCUGCGUGGAGCCAACCUUGAAAUACCACCCUUUAAUGUUUGAUGUUCUAACGUUGGCCCCUUACCGGGGUUGCGGACAGUGUCUGGUGGGUAGUUUGACUGGGGCGGUCUCCUCCCAAAGCGUAACGGAGGAGCACGAAGGUUAGCUAAUCCUGGUCGGACAUCAGGAGGUUAGUGCAAUGGCAUAAGCUAGCUUGACUGCGAGCGUGACGGCGCGAGCAGGUGCGAAAGCAGGUCAUAGUGAUCCGGUGGUUCUGAAUGGAAGGGCCAUCGCUCAACGGAUAAAAGGUACUCCGGGGAUAACAGGCUGAUACCGCCCAAGAGUUCAUAUCGACGGCGGUGUUUGGCACCUCGAUGUCGGCUCAUCACAUCCUGGGGCUGAAGUAGGUCCCAAGGGUAUGGCUGUUCGCCAUUUAAAGUGGUACGCGAGCUGGGUUUAGAACGUCGUGAGACAGUUCGGUCCCUAUCUGCCGUGGGCGCUGGAGAAUUGAGGGGGGCUGCUCCUAGUACGAGAGGACCGGAGUGGACGCAUCACUGGUGUUCGGGUUGUCAUGCCAAUGGCACUGCCCGGUAGCUAAAUGCGGAAGAGAUAAGUGCUGAAAGCAUCUAAGCACGAAACUUGCCCCGAGAUGAGUUCUCCCUGAGACUUUAAGUCUCCUGAAGGAACGUUGAAGACGACGACGUUGAUAGGCCGGGUGUGUAAGCGCAGCGAUGCGUUGAGCUAACCGGUACUAAUGAACCGUGAGGCUUAACCUU
rnacentral:rRNA from 1 species